rnacentral:rRNA from 1 species
UGGGGAAUAUUGCACAAUGGAGGGAACUCUGAUGCAGCGACGCCGCGUGAGUGAUGAAGGAAUUCGUUUCGUAAAACUCUGUUCUAUGGGAAGAAAAGGACUGUACCAUAGGAGAAAGCUCCGGCUAAAUACGUGCCAGCAGCCGCGGUAAUACGUAUGGAGCGAGCGUUGUCCGGAAUUAUUGGGCGUAAAGGGUGCGCAGGCGGCUUUACAAGUUGGAUGUGAAAUAUUGUGGCUCAACCACAAACGUGCAUCCAAAACUGCAAAGCUUGAGUUAAGGAGAGGUAAGUGGAAUUCCUGGUGUAGCGGUGGAAUGCGUAGAUAUCAGGAGGAAUACCGGUGGCGAAGGCGACUUACUGGACUUAUACUGACGCUCAGGCACGAAAGCGUGGGGAGCAAACAGG